CCUACGGGCGGCUGCAGUGAGGAAUAUUGCGCAAUGGGCGAAAGCCUGACGCAGCAACGCCGCGUGUAGGAUGAAGUCUUUCGGGACGUAAACUACUGUUAGAGGGGAAGAAACUCCGGUUACGCCGGGGGUGACGGUACCCUCAGAGAAAGCCACGGCUAACUCUGUGCCAGCAGCCGCGGUAAUACAGGGGUGGCAAGCGUUGUCCGGAAUUACUGGGUGUAAAGGGUUCGUAGGCGGGAUGAUAAGUCAGCGGUCAAAUCCGACAGCCUAACUGUCGACUAUCCGUUGAUACUGUUGUUCUUGAGUACAAGAGAGAUGAGUGGAAUUCCCAGUGUAGCGGUGAAAUGCGUAGAGAUUGGGAAGAACACCAGUAGCGAAGGCGGCUCAUUAGCUUGUUACUGACGCUGAGGAACGAAAGCAUGGGGAGCAAACAGGAUUAGAUACCCCAGUAGUC
rnacentral:rRNA from 1 species